UACAGAGGUGCAAGCGUUGUUCGGAAUUAUUGGGCGUAAAGGGCGCGUAGGCGGUGCGGUAAGUCUGUAGUGAAAUCUCUGGGCUCAACUCAGAGUCUGCUAUAGAACUGCCGUGCUUGAGUGUGGGAGAGGUGAGUGGAAUUCCCGGUGUAGCGGUGAAAUGCGUAGAUAAUCGGGAGGAACACCUGUGGCGAAAGCGGCUCACUGGACCACAACUGA
rnacentral:rRNA from 1 species